rnacentral:rRNA from 1 species
UACGUAGGGUCCGAGCGUUGUCCGGAAUUAUUGGGCGUAAAGGGCUCGUAGGCGGUUUGUUGCGUCGGGAGUGAAAACCCAGGGCUUAACUCUGGGCUUGCUUUCGAUACGGGCAGACUUGAGGUAUUCAGGGGAGAACGGAAUUCCUGGUGUAGCGGUGAAAUGCGCAGAUAUCGGGAGGAACACCAGUGGCGAAGGCGAUCACCUGGGGAUGUUCUGACGCUGAGGAGCGAAAGCUAGGGGAGCAAACGGG